rnacentral:lncRNA from 1 species
AGUCUUUUGUGUCAGAAUGAUUAGCGGUUUUACCUAGUUUUACGUUGGGUUUUACGUAUUCUCACAUUCUGUCUGCUAGCCGCUAGGAUUUGAUUGUCAAACAAGCAGUGUUUUUUAUUAUUAUUUGCUGUCUCUCAAUACCAUGCUCAAUACCCAUGCUUGUAAGUCACAUUUUGACAGUUCGGGUCGACGUUUUGACAUUCAGGCCCGGGUCUACUCAUGGAACGUCAUAUACAACUGGUGUCUCAAUCCAACCAAUGAAAAAUGCAGCAUGGAGGUUGAUCAACCUGUUGUUCAAGAUUAAAGAAAACAUAGCCUCACACCUGUCCCAGAAGCUGUUAAUCUCACUCCGUCACUCCUGACAAAUAUGUGGUGUUUUGAAAGAAAUCAAGCAGGCAGGAACUGGCAAUGGGCAGCUCAGAGCAAGAGCAUCUCAGUCUACUACACAGGCUGUUUGACGAAACAUGGAACUUGAUUCCAGUUUGGACAGCUAGGGGAGAAAUUAAAAUUCCACCUUGGCAAAGGCAGUGUAUAAUAAAGCCGUGGAACCUUACUGGUGUAGCUACCAUUGAAGCGUGGAGAGGUGGCAGUCUUGUAAAUUGUAAAUCCAAUUAUGCCUGCAGAGAAAAUGAAAACCCACCUAAAAAUUCCUCAGAAAAGCCACAAGAUUGCUGGUGUUUGAGGUUGGAGGAAUUUUAAAUCAAACCUUGAAAGUUGGCAGUGGUUAUUCAAGUCCUAAUAAAGAAUGCACUUGUUGAAGUUUCACUGGUCGGUCGACACGGGGACACGGUAUAUUUUAUCAACAGUAUUUAAGUUUCAAUCUUCGAGAAGGUUUAGAGCACAACAUUCCUGACGGUGUUGAACAUGCUCUGUUGAAAUUCAAGAAGCAAGAGAGGAGCUUGAUUAAAUUGACACCGGCUCUGCCAGUAACGAGCAACUCGCUGUUCCAUACACAACGCCAACCUCGAAUGCAAGAUUGAACUCAAGAGCUUCGAAAAGGCUAAAGAGAGCUGGAAGAGGUUAAACUCUGCAAGGAAAAAGGAAUCAAUCAUUUCAAAAGGCCUAAUACGUGGCCAACAAACGACUACUCCAAAAUCGUCCCCUCCUCGAGUUUGAACAAACUCUUAAAGACGAGAAAGCUACAGAACGAGAACAGCUUAUGUUAGCAACACAAUCAAUCAGUCCAUGUGCUGUUUAAAGUGAAGCGAUUUCUGUGCAAUUCGUGAUCAAUGCCAAAAGGCGCUAGAAAUGGACCCAAAAAUGAAAAAGGUUUAUUCCUCAUUGGCCAGGCAAUUUGGGGCAUCCACAAGCCGAAGGAAACUAAGAAGCAUUUCGAGGCGAUUCUGGAUUCUCCAUGAUUCGGACAACAAGGCGGGCGCCAAUCAAGUGCUGGUGAUCUGCAAAGCCAAGAUUUGCAAGCAACGCGAAACGGACAAGAAAUUGUGUACGCUAGCAUUUUCAACAAGAUGGACGUAAAUGAUUGACAGGUUAAACGAAAAGAAUGAAGGCAAAUGGCUUUACGGUUGGUGGGACGAGUCGACGAAAGGUGUCUAGCUAAACGCUGAUCUUGCUCAAAUCGAACGAGAUAAACAAGAUCUGUGGAGUAUUUAAAGGUCGAUCGUAGGAAAAUUAAUGCAGAUUUCUUCAAGCGCUACUGGCAGGAAACCCAAUAUCGUAUCAGUCAACGGGAAGCCGCUGAAUGUGAAUGAAAAUGACGGUAUGGAAAAUAGUGAAAUAGCUUCUUCCUACCAAAUGGCGGAGUCUACAGAAGCAUCCAACGACAAUCAGAUGAUCUUCGUUAAAGGUUUUCGUGACUGCUUUUGCACCAUUUGAAUUUGAAUUUUGUAUCUCGUCUUUUCAAAUAAAAAUUCUGAAUUUGGCGGGUAAAUU